CUUAUUGGGAAAUUCUGAGGUUUCUCCAGAACAAAGGAUUUCAAAGUGUAUCAGAAACAUUCAUUAAUGGUUGAUGCAUGCAAAGGGCCUCUUGUGGAAAGUGCGUCACAGAUCCUCCAGGCUGUCUGGGAAACAGGAUAAAAGCACUCGCCAGUCCUGGCUCGUUUCUCCACUUCUCAUCUAUUUUCCUUGGUGAAUCUGGUUUAAUCUCCAUCACAGAAAGAUGUCUUGCUAUGGCCUACUCAACAUACCAUGUGAGGUUCCACGCCCAACGCCAGAUGCUGUCACCUACAAUGAGCCUUGUGUCAUUCAGUGCCCUGACUCGAUACGCGAGACCGACUCACCGCCAGGCAUUGCAAUAAUCCCUGGGCCAAUUUUCACCACUUUCCCUUAUUACUCUAUAGUGGACCAUUCAGCACUAUUUGACAUUAAGAGAUCAUUCUGCCCUGAAAGAUCUCUUGGUUCUGAGGGUUUCAUUAAUUUGUAUAAUUAGAGUUUGCCAUCCUUUGACACCAGAUCCUAGAAUCUUCAUUCUUCCCUGCUGCCCAAUAAAUUCUGCUCUGUAAAUUGUGAGCAUGUGAAACCCAGUAGGAAUAUCCAGGGUACAAGUAACCUGGAAAUUAAAAGCAAGAUACAGAUUCAUGGCUGAGCUCAGGCACAAUGCGUUUCAGAACUGUUGAGCACCCACAACUCCAAUUCAAGUCGAUAGACGUUGCAACUCCUCAAAAUGAUAGCUGUGUGGGAACUAGAAUUUCCACUGCUGUGAAAUAGUCACAAAAUUUCAAAAAACUUGUUUUUGUGCCAAAUUAGAAUUAGAAUUUUCAAAUUUAAAAUGGAAUUUUUGGAAAAAAAAUGAAAAAAAAAUGUUGUCUUAACUUUUUACAGAUUUUAUACUAUAACAUUAAAAAAACAAAAAGUUGUUUGAAAUCAGAAAUCAAAUGUUCUAUUCCUAUGAUAUCUGAUUGUGGGGAAACAGAACAUUUCCCCACACACCUCACAAAUGAAAUUUCACUGAAAUUGAUGAGCUCCUGUGGAAAGUUUCAAUUUAGCCGAAAUUUACAUUUUCCUAUGUAAAAACUUUCCAAUGGAAAUUUUUUAACCAAUUCUACUUCAUACCUCUUAAAAUUAGGCCUAAAUAAGUUUCUCUCAUGUUAUGCUUUACUUUAGAUCUAUAAUAUAAUGGCUUUCCAGCUUAGUUAUCUACUUAUAAUGUGCUUUGUCUUAUUUGACACUGUCUGUGUUAAAUCAAAUAACUAGAAAUAUAUGAAAAUGGGACUUGAUUGUCAAACUCUAUAGUUAUAACAAAGAUGGAAGAAGAACAUCUCGUGUGAAAUGCAAAUCCUUGGAGUGGGUGAUUGGUUAUAGCCCUU